AGUGAACGCUGGCGGUAGGCCUAACACAUGCUAGUCGAACGGCAGCACAGUAAGAGCUUGCUCUUACGGGUGGCGAGUGGCGGACGGGUGAGGAAUACAUCGGAAUCUACUUUUUCGUGGGGGAUAACGUAGGGAAACUUACGCUAAUACCGCAUACGACCUACGGGUGAAAGCAGGGGAUCUUCGGACCUUGCGCGAUUGAAUGAGCCGAUGUCGGAUUAGCUAGUUGGCGGGGUAAAGGCCCACCAAGGCGCCGAUCCGUAGCUGGUCUGAGAGGAUGAUCACCCACACUGGAACUGAGACACGGUCCAGCCUCCACAGGUAGGCAGCAGUGGGGAUUAUUGGACACUGGGGGCUAGCCUGGUCCAGCCAUAUCGUGUCGAUGAAGAAGGCCUUCGGGUUGUAAAGCCCUUUUGUUGGGAAAGAAAAGCAGCAGGUUAAUACCCCGCUGUUCUGACGGUACCUAAAGAAUAAGCACCGGCUAACUUCGUG
rnacentral:rRNA from 1 species